CCUACGGGUGGCAGCAGUGAGGAAUAUUGGUCAAUGGUCGGGAGACUGAACCAGCCAAGCCGCGUGAGGGAUGAAGGUACAGAGUAUCGUAAACCUCUUUUGUCAGGGAACAAAGGCGGGGACGUGUCCCCGGAUGAGUGUACCUGAAGAAAAAGCAUCGGCUAACUCCGUGCCAGCAGCCGCGGUAAUACGGAGGAUGCGAGCGUUAUCCGGAUUUAUUGGGUUUAAAGGGUGCGGAGGCGGUCUGUUAAGUCAGCGGUCAAAUCCCGAGGCUCAACCCCGGCACGGCGUUUGAACUUGGCAGUCUAGAGUUGGAGAGAAGUAGGCGGAAUGCGCGGUGUAGCGGUGAAAUGCAUAGAGAUCGCGCAGAACUCCGAUUGCGAAGGCAGCAUGCCGGCUCCACACUGACGCUGAGGCACGAAAGCGUGGGUAUCGAACAGGAUUAGAUACCCUUGUAGUC
rnacentral:rRNA from 1 species